rnacentral:rRNA from 1 species
GCGCGAAACCUCCGCAAUGUGAGACAAUCGCGAGGGGGGAUCCCAAGUGCCAUUCUUAACGGGAUGGCUUUUCAUUAGUGUAAAAAGCUUUUGGAAUAAGAGCUGGGCAAGACCGGUGCCGCCCGCCGCGGUAACACCGGCAGCUCUAGUGGUAGCAGUUUUUAUUGGGCCUAAAGCGUCGUAGCCGGUUUAAUAAGUCGCUGGUGAAAUCCUGUAGCUUAACUGUGGGAAUUGAUGGAGAUACUAUUAUACUUGAGAUCGGGAGAGGUUAGAGGUACUCCCAGGGUAGAGGUGAAAUUCUGUAAUCCUGGGAGGACCACCUGUUGCGAAGGCGUCUAACUGGAACGGUUCUGGACGGUGAGGGACGAAAGUUAGGGGCGCGAACCGGAUUAGAUACCCGGGUAGUCCUAACUGUAAACGAUGCGGACUUGGUGUUGGGAUGGCUUUGAGCAUGCUCCGUGCCGAAGGGAAGCUGUUAAAUCCGCCGCCUGGGAAGUACGGUCGCAAGAACUGAAACUUAAAGG